rnacentral:lncRNA from 1 species
CAGUAGAGAAGGGGGUAGGGAGUAUAUAUCUUAUUAUGUGAUGUUCACUAAGCUUCAGUAUAUUUUACAGGUUGUUUUGCAAAAACACUUGUAGAGCAUGUUGGUAUGAAGAACCUGAAGUCCUGGGCUAGUGUAAAUCGAGGUGCCAUUAUUCUUUCUAGCCUCCUCCAGAGUUGUGACCUGGAAGUUGCAAACAAAGUCAAAGCUGCACUGAAAAGCUUGAUUCCUACAUUGGAAAAAACCAAAAGCACCAGCAAAGGAAUAGAAAUUCUACUUGAAAAACUGAGCACAUAGGUGGAAAGAGUUAAGAGCAAGAUGGAAUGAUUUUUUCUGUUCUCUGUUCUGUUUCCCAAUGCAGAAAAGAAGGGGUAGGGUCCACCAUACUGGUAAUUGGGGUACUCUGUAUAUGUGUUUCUUCUUUGUAUACGAAUCUAUUUAUAUAAAUUGUUUUUUUAAAU